UACGUAGGGUGCGAGCGUUGUCCGGAAUUAUUGGGCGUAAAGAGCUUGUAGGCGGUUUGUCGCGUCUGCUGUGAAAGCCCGGGGCUUAACUCCGGGGCUGCAGUGGGUACGGGCAGGCUAGAGUGUGGUAGGGGAGACUGGAAUUCCUGGUGUAGCGGUGAAAUGCGCAGAUAUCAGGAGGAACACCGAUGGCGAAGGCAGGUCUCUGGGCCAUAACUGACGCUGAGAAGCGAAAGCAUGGGGAGCGAACAGG
rnacentral:rRNA from 1 species